UUCACCAGCAGACAGGUUUUUGUAUCACGUCUUUUCACUGUGGAGAGGGGUUAUUUGAUCUUUGGCUCUGGAACUAGACUCUUUGUUUCAGACGAGGAGCAGGUGGUGAAGCCCGUGGUGAGCGUGUACCCGGCAGCAUCCAGAGGCCGGCUGGAGGAGAAGAGCUCCCUGCUGUGUUUGGCCUCAGCCAUGUUUCCUCCUGUGGUCAGAAUCUCCUGGAGACGACAAACGGAGAGCGGAUGUUUAGAGGAGCUGCCCUCUGCUGACGGACAGCAGCUGGAGCUCAGAGAGUCUGGAUGUACUGCCUCCGUCUUACAGAUCUAUCAGACAAAGUUCAGCUAUGAAUACAGCUGCUACGUGCAGCAUGAGGGGGGAACAGUGGAGGCUCUGAUAGAUACAGCACCUGCAGCGGAUCCCUCUGUCCCGUCUCCAUACAAGGUGAAGCUGCUCUUGCUGCUCUACACAGUGCUGACAGUGAAGAGUCUGGUGUACUGCUGUGGACUCUUCCUGCUGACCGUCCUCAGGAACAUCUCAUAAAUGUAUCUCCUUUAUCGCUUAGAUGAAUUUAAAAAUGUCAAUCAUGACUAUAUAUAUGCAAUUAUGAUCAAACAACAUUUUGCAGCAGUGUAAAACAAAUCCUAUAUUAUAUACAGUAAAUGUUAUUGUUUUGUAUAAUACUUUAGCAAAUGAUGCGCAAUGU